GAUACACCUGUUCCCAUUCCGAACACAGAAGUUAAGUUCUCUAGCGCUGAUGGUACUUGGUGGGAAACUGCCUGGGAGAGUAGGACGUAGCCACGU
rnacentral:rRNA from 1 species